CGGCUAGUCGUACCUUACACUAGUGACGAAGUCGACGGCAGCACGGGAGCAAUCCUGGUGGCGAGUGGCGAACGGGUGAGUAAUAUAUCGGAACGUGCCCAGUCGUGGGGGAUAACGUAGCGAAAGCUACGCUAAUACCGCAUACUAUCUAUGGAUGAAAGCGGGGGAUCGCAAGACCUCGCGCGAUUGGAGCGGCCGAUAUCAGAUUAGGUAGUUGGUGAGGUAAAGGCUCACCAAGCCGACGAUCUGUAGCUAGUCUGAGAGGACGACCAGCCACACUGGGACUGAGACACGGCCCAGACUCCUACGGGAGGCAGCAGUGGGGAAUUUUGGACAAUGGGCGCAAGCCUGAUCCAGCAAUGCCGCGUGCAGGAUGAAGGCCUUCGGGUUGUAAACUGCUUUUGUACGGAACGAAACGGUGAGCUCUAAUACAGUUUGCUAAUGACGGUACCGUAAGAAUAAGCACCGGCUAACUACGUG
rnacentral:rRNA from 1 species